AGAUAACUGCUGGCUUUGAUAUCUUUCCCGGGAGCCGAAAAACGUUCAGAAGGACAACAGGGCGCCACUUGAACGCGUCAGUAAUCUUUCAUGAAGAUGAGGUUCUGUCUGUACUCCGUUCUGAUGCUUCUCCUUUGCUUACACUGGAGCAAAGCAGGAUGCCUCUUCAAUGACUUCCUCGACACGGACUUCAAGUCAAGCUCCUCUUUCGACACUGUAUCAGACGGCGACACUUACGACGAUGACGAAGGACCUCCGCUCCGUGGGCACGGCUGUCCGCUGUACCCAGAAAUGUGCUGGAAGCACUGCGCGAAGCUGAAACGAUUUCAAGCUACCUGUGGCGGAAUUCUGCAAAUGACCUGCGUCUGCUAACUGGGAAGACAGGAAUCCCAUGGAUCCUGCUUCGGACCAGGAGCACCCCUUGUGUGUGGUGCUUUUCAAGGGACACAGCUGGAGUAACACGGUUCAUGUGGUGCGUGCCAGCUUCAUUGCAUCGCAAACGUAACUAGCCAUAUGGCGACAUGGCAUCGGCAUUGCAGAUGGAAUGACCUGAAAUAAGUUCACCACGGGCCGGAGGCUUGUAUAUAAGUACAGCGUGCACGGCUGAGGAAUAAUGGCCUCAUCCGUAGGAGC